AUUUUAUCUGUUGUUUUUUUCCUGAGAUUAUUACUAGGUAUAUUGUCAUCUUUUGUUAUGUUUUAUUUCCAAUGUUACUACAGUUUCUUAAGCUUAUAAAAUAUUUUAUUCAUUUUCAGAGGCUUAAUAUGAGAAUAAAGAAGUUUGGUAUAAUUACAAAUGAAGAAUUCAGAAAAUCACCAGGAAAUUCUUGCUUUGGAUUCAAUAUGUCAACUGGCAAAGAAGUUAAUACUGACAUGGAAAAGAAAAGAAAGAGACUGGAACGCUUUGGACUGCUUUGAUAUUCUACCUUAAUGUUUCCUCUCCAAGUUUUAUAUAUUAAAGUAAAUAUAAUGGCCAAAUUAAA
rnacentral:lncRNA from 1 species